rnacentral:rRNA from 1 species
UAGGGGAUGAUGGAAUUCCUAGUGUAGAGGUGAAAUUCUUAGAUAUUAGGAGGAACACCGGUGGCGAAGGCGAUCAUCUGGGCUACAACUGACGCUGAUGCACGAAAGCGUGGGGAGCAAACAGGAUUAGAUACCCUGGUAGUCCACGCCGUAAACGAUGAGUGCUAGAUAUCGGAAGAUUUUCUUUCGGUUUCGCAGCUAACGCAUUAAGCACUCCGCCUGGGGAGUACGGUCGCAAGAUUAAAACUCAAAGGAAUUGACGGGGG